UUCAGCAAAAAGGCUUGAUUUUCGUGUGGCCACAAAAACGCUCGUCCUUUUUUUACAAUAAGGAGAUGAUUUGGCUGUCUUGGGUGGUGGCCCACGCGCUGUAUUGGCUGUAUGUUGUUGAUAUUUUGCCCACUGGGAGAGCUGUGCCUUUCAAGCAACCCCCCUGGAAGUACGAGCCGCCGUUGCAUCGGCCGAAAAGCAGGGAUUUUAUUAUUGAGCCGGAUUGGGAGUCGCAUCAUUAUGCCAGUAUAGAAAAACACUAAUUUUUGCACGGUUUUCAGUUAUGUGGGGGCGAGAUCGUUAAUUAAAAGCUAGUUUUUUA